GGCUGCUGGCCCUCUUGGCCGCCGUCGCUACGCACCGAGUUCGUGUUUAAGGAGAAACUAACGAUGAAAACGGACUCGUUGACGGAGGAAAAGUUGGAAUGCAGCCUCUGGUGCUGUUUGAGCGAUCCCUCUCCCCGGGGCCUGGCCGCGCGCUGCUGUGUUCUGGAAGGGCUCAUUGUACAGUCAAGGUGGAGACUAGCCCUUCUUGCAACUUCCGCGUGCAGUCCUCCUCAAUGCUGCCAGAACAGCAGCUACAACUCUAUGAUUGAAGGCAUCGCCCUCCUGGUUCUCCAUAUUGUUUGCCAUCUUGGACAGAUAAAUUAGAUGAGCUCUUUUUUCAACACUCAGAGAAUGUUUUGAAUUCACAUUUCUGCCAUCUUACUCACCUAUUCGAAUCAGUUCCCUCCCCCUCCCUUGUAUCAAAUAUUGUCUCUGAUAAUAAUACAUUGAGUUAUUUGUAGUUCCUGAAGAAUUUCAUGUUCUUAUAACAUUAAAUUUUUUCCCACACUAUUUGUUGUAACUAGUUUACCUAUUUCUGCCUAAAUAAAA
rnacentral:lncRNA from 1 species